rnacentral:lncRNA from 1 species
CAUAGGAGCGGCCCACUCCACUUUCAUAUAGGUGAAUUCAUCAAGUGUAUACUGCUUUUAAAUACACCAUCUAUUAAGGACUAUGAAUUUCAUUAAGAGUUAUAACUCAGCCUCUCAAUUAGUAGCAGUCAAUCACUCUUUUUUAGUGCAUCAGUGCCAAUAUUGACUUGUUAUUACCCAUAUGAACCUACAUCAUGGGAUCUCUAAUCACAUAUGUUUGGCUACCAUCUCUAUUGACAACAUGUCGGCCUUAAACCCCAUCUCUUUUGAGGUUUGAAGAAUUAAUUUUCUUCCUACGGGUUU